AUCUAAAAAAGGGGGAACAGCCUCGCCUCUCUCCCCGCACAGCACACGGAUGCACCUUGAAACAGCAGCACGGCCAAGAUUGUUUCAACAAAAGUUUCAGCGCACCGAAAACACUCACAAACACACGCACGCACUCACAACUAUCUACAUUGGAAAGGAGGCAAGGAAUGCAGAAUAUGAGGAGUGGGGAACGUACACCGCGUUUCAAAACAUAGCGCAUGCGUCGGAUAGCAGCGAAAAUUUCGUGCGACCACCGAUAUAUCACAUAUCUACACAACAACACAUUUCUACACAACAACACCUUUGCUACACACUUGCUACAUAAUGGAAGGAAAAAGAGGGUAUGGGCAACAGGCGAAACGGCCCAGAAAAUGUAACGCAUGCAUGGUAAAAUCCACCCCAUUUGCUCAAUAUACCUUUAAGACAAAAAUUAGAUUUUUUUCUCCAAGGUAUAUUGAGCUCAUACGCGAGUGAGGUUCGUAUGAACCUUGCAAUUUGCUUUGCCUUUUUUGCCUGUUGUCCAUACCUCUUUCUAUAGCCCAUUUAAAAUUACGACUCAUUUUUUCGUUGGAUUAUGAGCGUCUGCACUCAGAAAUAUA
rnacentral:sRNA from 1 species